GGAUACUUACAUGCUCCCUUCUUUUUGUUGAUGCAAAUCUGAAAUAAAAAAACUUAAAAGGGAUUGUUAUGUGACUUGUCAAUGUAAGCUGAAUAAGCAGACCAAUUUAUGCCUUGACAAUUUCUGUAAAGCUAAUGAUUGAUAGAUACAUAGGUAAAAGCUUUGCUAGUUUAUCAAUCUCAGCAACUACAUAAGCAUCAUGACCUGCCGAUUUGUACGAGUCAUAGACCUUGAUACAUCUCUCUUUAAAUGUGACAACAGCCAGUACCCAGUGUAGUUUGUCCUUCAAGUUGACUGGUAUCAAGACAUUAUCAACAGUAUGCCAAGGUACAUUAGCAUGCAAUCUGUAGCCCCUCAUGUACUCACAUAUAACAUCCUCUUGUUUGGCCACGUCAGCAUUACUAUCUAUAUAAGCAUACAUAUCGUAUAUUUCAGUGAUUCUUGUCUUGAAAUAUGCAAUCUGUAGCCCCUCCUGUACUCACAUACAACAUCCUCUUGUUUGGCCCCCAAGUAUCCACAUGUAUUAAUUGGAAUGGUCUAGUAGUACUGAUACUGCUGUCAUGANNNNNNNNNNNNNNNNNNNNNNNNNNNNNNNNGGUCCCCAAGUAUCCACAUGUAUCAAUUGGAAUGGUCUAGUUGUACUGAUAUUACUGUCAUGAAAAGGAAGUCUAGUCUGCUUAGCCAUAGGGCAGACAGAACAGGGAAAGGGUUGUUUAGGAGCAAGUGGAAAAGACAAACCCAAAAUGUGUUUCAUAUUUGUAAAGGGAGUAUGUGCCGGUCUUAAAUGCCAAAUGUAAUUCAUAUCAGUGAUAACAACAUUAUUACAAAUGGAAUUAUUUACAAUUGGAGACAUAUCAACAAUUUUGCUGUCAGACACAUUGUCAUCAUUACAAAAAUCAGACAAAGCACACACAGA
rnacentral:lncRNA from 1 species